rnacentral:rRNA from 1 species
GACGGACGCUGGCGGCGUGCCUAAUACAUGCAAGUUGAGCGCUGAAGGUUGGUACUUGUACCAACUGGAUGAGCAGCGAACGGGUGAGUAACGCGUGGGGAAUCUGCCUUUGAGCGGGGGACAACAUUUGGAAACGAAUGCUAAUACCGCAUAAAAACUUUAAACACAAGUUUUAAGUUUGAAAGAUGCAAUUGCAUCACUCAAAGAUGAUCCCGCGUUGUAUUAGCUAGUUGGUGAGGUAAAGGCUCACCAAGGCGAUGAUACAUAGCCGACCUGAGAGGGUGAUCGGCCACAUUAGGACUGAGACACGGCCCAAACUCCUACGGGAGGCAGCAGUAGGGAAUCUUCGGCAAUGGACGAAAGUCUGACCGAGCAACGCCGCGUGAGUGAAGAAGGUUUUCGGAUCGUAAAACUCUGUUGGUAGAGAAGAACGUUGGUGAGAGUGGAAAGCUCAUCAAGUGACGGUAACUACCCAGAAAGGGACGGCUAACUACGUG